ACAGUGCAUCAAGAACGCAAUGCGUACCAACCGACACACUCGAUGCACGGUGGUUUAGAAUGCGGAGAACAACUCUCAAAUUAAUCGAGUAAU
rnacentral:ncRNA from 10 species